CACAAGCUCCCUGUCCCUUGAAGAUACAGAGACCAUGCGCUCUCAGAGUCAUUUCCCCAACUGCUUCUUCAUCCUACAACCCCUGACCUUUCGUGGAAGGCAGCUGGCCCAGGCCGUGGGUCACAGCAGCCUGUCUGAGUGCUCAGCAUCAUGCUUACCACCUUCUGGCAUUUUGUGUGUGUUUAUUUUAAUGUUCUGUUAGUUUUUCUCUUUAGGAAAGUCGAACAUGCACACUAAUAAAAGCAGUCACGAACACCAGCAAAGCUGGCAUUCAGCAGCCACUCUGGGAGGGGAAGGAGCUCCCUGGAGCCACAGCAGACCCCUUUCCGGAGGUUUCCCUACUGCUAUUCCUGUCCUUCAGCUCCUUCUCUGAGCGCAAAGUUUGGAUGCCAAGCUCUCUUUGCAGGCUCCCGUGGGCCAACGUACCGUCAGGGGCUGAGGGUGAACCUCAAACUAGAGCCACGAGGACAUCAAUAGUGCUGCCACCUAAGCCACC